GCUUAGCCAUAAACNUAGUCCGCGCAGCAACCCCACGGACCGCCAGAGAAUUACAAGCGAAAAGCUCGAAACUCAAAGGAUUUGACGGUGUCCCACAUCACACUAGAGGAGCCUGUCCUAUAAUCGAUACCCCACGCUAAACCUUACCCCUACUAGCAAAAUCAGCCUAUAUACCGCCGUCGCAAGCCUACCUCAUGAGAGCCCUACCAAAAUAGGCAAACCAGCACCCUCACUAAAACGUCAGGUCAAGGUGUAGCUAAUGUAGGGGCAGAGAUGGGCUACAUUUUCUCCCCAGAGAACACACCAUAGACCGACAUGAAAACACCGACCAAAGGCGGAUUUAGCAGUAAGCCAGGACCAACUUGCCUGCCUGAACCGUGCUCUGGGACGCGUACAC
rnacentral:rRNA from 1 species